CUUGAUGGAGCCCAGCCACAGCGGCUGGUCCUCGCUGUGGUUGCGCCCGUAGGUGGCGAGCAGGGCCUGGGCCUC
rnacentral:antisense_RNA from 1 species